rnacentral:lncRNA from 1 species
UGAAGUCGAAGAUGAGUCAAAGGGGCAUAACAUGAGGCAAAAAUCAUUUAUAUAUGUUGCAUGACAUGUCCUAAGAGUGCAAAUAUGAUUUGGAGAGGGCUUGGUGUGAGCCCAAGGGGGCGGAGGCAUGGUGAGGAUCAUGUGCGGUGUUCGAUGUCAGCGCCGUGCCAUUUUGAGCUACAAGUGGAAUCUAAGGAUUCCGGUUUAGAGAGUUGAUAUUGAUGGUACCUUAUAUAUUCUUACCAAAUUUGGGGUCGUUUGGAGUCCGUUUGGAUAGUGG